GAAUGAUAGAGAGGUUGGGUUGGAAGGGUCCUUGAAUAUCACAGAACCGUGGAAUGGUUGAGUUGGAAGGGUCCUUACAGAUAAAAGAAUUGCGGAAUGAUAGAGAGGUUGGGUUGGAAGGGUCCUUAAACAUCACAGAACCAGUGGUUGGACUGGGGAAGGCCCAGAGGUUCCACUUCCAACCUCCUGUAAUUCUGGGAUCUGUAAAAGAAUCCCAACACCUUGAGCCCAAAUCUGACCUUUUGUCCCACGAGACCGAUUUUAAGUUCCCCUCUCUGACAUUGGUUGGGUUCCCUUCUGUGAUGUUGGUUGGCUUCUUCUCUCCAGUGUUUGUUGGGUUCCCCUCUUCGAUGUUGGUUGGGUUCCCUUUCCAAUGUGGGUUCCCCUUUCUGACAUUUGUUGGGUUCUCCUCUCUAACGUUGGUUGGGUUCCCUUCUCCCAUACUCUUUGGUUUCUCUCUCUGAUGUUGGUUGGGUUCUCCCAUAUUUGUUGGUUUCUCUCUCCAGCAUUGGCUGAGUUCUCCCAUGUUCUUUGGUUUCUCUCUCCAGCAUUGGCUGGGUUUCCCUCUCUGACAUCAGUUGGGUUUCCUUUCCAGUGUGGGCUCCCCUUUCUGACAUUUGUUGGGUUCUCCUCUCCAAUGUUGGUUGGGUUCCCUUCUCCCAUACUCUUUGGUUUCUCUCUCCAGCAUUGGCUGGGUUUCUCUCUCCAACCUUGGCUGGUUUCUCUUUCCUGUGUGGGUUCCCUUCUCCAACCCCGAGUUCCCUUUGACAUUGGUUGGGUUCCCUUUCCAAUGUGGGUUCCCCUCUC
rnacentral:lncRNA from 1 species